CAACUGGCAAAAAGCUGUAUGUUUGCAAGUCAAUAUUGUGACAGAAGCGUGGAAGGCAAAGAUUGUCGCAGGGGCCGAGGCCGCAGGGAUGGCCCACGGUCCCCACCGGCAGCCUGCGGCACGGGGCAGGGUCAGAUGGAAAGCUGAUGUGACCAACUUAGGGCAACGCAGGGAUCAGGGAUCCAAAAGCUCGCAUCAAAUGCUGCUCCCUCUCAGACCUUUAAAUACAGCACUUAGGGGUACUGGAAGUGAAUUGCAGAAAGCAGCCAGACUUGUGUGCUGCCCCUGCGUGGCAUCUCCUCUUGCCACUACCCAACACAAAAUACUGAACCAGAUGGAACAUAGGUCUGACCUCCUAUGUACUUCAGGAAACAAUCAGAAGGGCCUCCAGACAAAUCCCACCUGGUCUCCAGCCUGAUGCCAGGAGUACUGCAAGCCUUACCGAGAGGUCGAAAAGAAAUAGAGAGCACCAUUAAACCUUAAAACAUACAGAAAAUCGAGCUGGCUGGGGUGUGUUCCAGCUGAGGUGGGAAAAAACAAAUGACGUCAGACCCUACAUGAAUGUUUUGGGAUAAGGAUGGCACAUCGGCGAGCGGAUGGUAGAUGGGUUAUUGAAUUCCUAAGGAAAGGGCUUUUUCACAGUUGUGGGACCAGAAGGACAUUACAGUGCUGCCUACACGACCGCAAUGCCUGCUGAGAGCAGUGCUGGGAAGGAAGAAAGAGGCAACAUUCACCCAAGCCAGCAACACAAACGCUAAAUGUCACUGCACUGAGCUGGGUAUCGAGCUACAAUUGAUCCUGCGCAUGCACUUCCUAGCGUUGAAAAAAGCAUCAGAGACUGAAGAGAACAAUGCCACCUGGAAAUGAACACAGAUUUUAUAAUGGAUUUGAGCGUGAGCUUGAUCAAUUUACCAUAAUCUAUCUCAAACAUCUGCAGCAUAGACAGGCACGAGCCACGGCAGUGUUUUCUUUCCUUGUAAUCUCCUCUGCCAUUGUCCUGCUGCUGAGAAACAAGCAGGAAUGGAAAGAAAAUGACAAAAUGGACACUAACAUCUCACAAACACCACCUGCCUUAUGGGUCUGAGACUGCAAAACCCAGAAGAGUUACCUAAAAGAGCUGGGCUGGAAAUAAAACUGAGAGGAAACAAAAAGGCCAUGAGACACACAAGCGAAUGGCAUUCACAUCUGCAGAGAUAAAACGGUUUUGCUUCCCCCCGGCAAUGCGCUGAGCUAUCUCCUCAGAUAACCAUGUGGAACUGGGAAAACACAUGGAGUUUUUGCUCUCCUAAAACACAUUUGGAAAUAGCAACAAACCUGACUGAGAUGACAUCAGCAUCCUUUUUCCUUUUUCCCUAAGACAAAUAAAUUGAAAAAAGAGAAAUAAAUUCUGAUGUCUUUCGAAAAAGAUGUCUGGAUUAAUUCGUAGAUAUAAGUGAUCUGAACACAAAAGAAACACAAAGAUUCAUAGAAGAAUGUUGAUAGACUCCCUGAGUCUACUCCAGAAAGAAAACAUCAAUGGUUUGACCCUUUCUAUGAAGAACUCCAAGACAAACAUUAUGUACCAAACCUGGUGUGGAAGCCGCAGAGGACAGAGAAGAGAGGAAAGACAAAGAAACUGCGAGGAAAUUGAUAAAUCAUUAGACAAGAACUUGUCUAAUCCACCCGAAAAGGGCUAUGGGAAGCAAAGGACUGUUAACUAGGCUGUAUGUUACCCACAGAGUACCUACGAACACAAAAAUGGGUGAGGCGUGCCGUGCCGCACAGCACUUGCUGCAUCGGCCUCGACAGCAGCACGUGGCUGGAUCUGGCCACGGGGCUGCUGCGAGGGGCACAAAGAAAGGAAAGAAGCGCCGGCACCACGCUGCAGACUCCUCAAGGGCAGGGAUGAUGGGGAACAGUGGAGA